rnacentral:lncRNA from 1 species
UUGAUUCUCCUAUAGAGUUGCUGACCCCUUUAUCUCCUUGGGUAUUUUCUCUAGCUCAUUCAUUGUGGGCCCUGUGUUCCAUCCAAUAGAUGACUGUGAGCAUCCACUUCUGUAUUUGCCAGACACUGGCAUAGCCUCACAAGAGACAGCUAUAUCAUCAGGGUCCUGUCAGCAAAAUCUUGCUGGCAUAUGCAAUAGUGUCUGGGUUUGGUGGUUGUAUAUUGGAUGGAUCCCCGGGUGGGGCUCCAUUUCCUUUCUGAUUCUAAUUAUUUCCUUCCUCUGCUUACUCUGGCUUUAAUUUGCUUUCCUUCUUCAAAUUCCUUACAGUAGAAGCUUUUUGCUCUCCAUUAAUUAAUUUAUAUAUUCAUUCACUUUGCAUCCCAGCUGCUGUCCCCUUCCUCCCAGUCUCUCUACUACACAGUCUCUCCUCAUCAAAACAGAGGCUUUAACUAAAUUACAACUUUUUUUUCUACUGCAGGUCUAUAUUAUUAUAAUUUUUCUUCUAAAUGUGAUUUAGUUUUCACUCAGGUCAAAAUACUUUCCAGCUUCCCUUUUUGAUUUGUCCCCUGUCCUGGGUGAGAAGUGUGGUAUUUUGUUUCCAAAUAGUUGAGGGUUUUUCAGAGAGCUUUCUGUUAUUGAUUUCUAAUUUAAUUCUACCGUGGUCUACAAGCACAUUCCAUGUGAUUUGAAUCCCUUUUCAUUUUAUUAAGAUACUUUGGUUGCCAAGAAUAAGUUCUGUUUUACUAAACAUGAACCUAGAACAAAUGUGUAUUUUGCAGCUGUUGGCCGAGGCAUUGUGUAAGCACCAGGCAAAGAUGGAAGUGCUGUUCAGAUAUUGAACAUUUUCCUUGAUUUUCUGUCAUUAUGUCUUGAUUGGGGGUGGGGGUGAGGAGAAGUUUUUUCGAGACAAGGACUCAUAUAGGCCUAGAGUUUUGUUUUUUUUUUUAUAUAGUUGAAAAUAACCUUGAACUUCUAAUCUUCCUGCCUCUACUUUCUGAAUGCUAGAAAUAUAGACAUGUAUCCCUCCCUGUCUUAUGUAAUGUUAUGGAUUGAAUCCAGAGUUUUGUGCACCUUAGGUAAGCACUCUUCCUAGUGAGCCAUACCCCUAUCUGCAGUAACAUCACUGAGAAAGGGACAUGAAAGAUGAGGUUGGUGACAAAAGAACCUUAAGGAAAAAGGGGUUUAUGUUGGCUUACAGUUCUAAGGGAUGCAUCACAUUAGAAGGUGUGACCAUACUUUCUAGCUACUUUAUUGAGUUUUUGCAUCUACCACCCUUCUCUACCCCAGUUCCUUCCAGCAGCCCAACACUAAGUAGGAGAGAAAGGUUAGCAGGGAAAGGGGUAUAGAUCUCUUUAGACUACUUCCUACUGAUUAGGUGUUGAAUGCCUUGGCAAGCCCAAUCUUCAUAGUCACGAUAUCCAAUUUCUUUUGCAGCUCCUCUGCAGCUUCUGGCCUCUGGCAUUGUUAUACCCAGGAUUCCAAAUGUAGACUGGCAGAAUCACACCCCUGCCAGAGCAUGAGACAAAUCACAGUCAGCUGCUGUGGACAAUCUGAAGCAGCCCCAUGUCCGACAACCGGGAUUAAACAAAAUCAUAUUCAUAUAAAAUAACUGAGUUUUGAAAAUACAAAUUUCUCACUACAAGUAGGGAAGCAUUCCAUUAUUGGGGCAUCUGGUCAUAUUGUAUCUUCAGUCAAGGAACAGGGAGUGAUGAAUAGGACAGGAAGAGGGGUUGGACCUGUCUUUAGUGACUCAUUUCCUCCAUCCAGCAAGGCCCCAUAACCAGCACUUUCCAUACAGUAUAUGAAAUAAACACCAUGAAAUAUUAAAUACCAGCUACACUUUCUUAACUGAAUGGGUGAGCCCUGGCAUGGUCCCAAGAAAGGUGUUGCUUUAGCAUAACUAAGCCUUCGUACUUGAUAGGAAAAGAGGAUGGAAGAACAUUCUGCAGAAAUUACUUUCUAGGGUAGGGGAAUGUCACAAUGUCACUCGGUAGCAAAAUACUUGUCCAGCAUGCCUGAAGCCCCAGGGUUUCCCACCUCUGUACCACACACAUAAGAAAUAAACGAUGCUCUCAUGAUGAAGCAGUGUGCACCAACUAGAAUUUUAGAAACAGUCCUAUCACUGAGGGAAGCCAAGGCAGAA